GCGCCGAUAGCUCAGCUGGAUAGAGCGCUGGCUACGGACCAGAAGGCCGCGUGUUCGAAUCAUGUUCGGCGCA
rnacentral:tRNA from 1 species